GAUGAACGCUGGCGGCGUGCCUAAUACAUGCAAGCCGAGCGAACAGACGAGGAGCUUGCUCCUCUGACGUUAGCGGCGGACGGGUGAGUAACACGUGGAUAACCUACCUAUAAGACUGGGAUAACUUCGGGAAACCGGAGCUAAUACCGGAUAAUAUAUUGAACCGCAUGGUUCAAUAGUGAAAGACGGUUUUGCUGUCACUUAUAGAUGGAUCCGCGCCGCAUUAGCUAGUUGGUAAGGUAACGGCUUACCAAGGCAACGAUGCGUAGCCGACCUGAGAGGGUGAUCGGCCACACUGGAACUGAGAAACGGUCCAGACUCCUACGGGAGGCAGCAGUAGGGAAUCUUCCGCAAUGGGCGAAAGCCUGACGGAGCAACGCCGCGUGAGUGAUGAAGGUCUUCGGAUCGUAAAACUCUGUUAUUAGGGAAGAACAAAUGUGUAAGUAACUAUGCACGUCUUGACGGUACCAAUCAGAAAGCCACGGCUAACUACGUG
rnacentral:rRNA from 1 species